AUCGCUUCUCGGCCUUUUGGCUAAGAUCAAUUGUAGAGUCUGUUCUUAUCAGCUAAAUAUCUGAUACGGGCCUAAUUGGUCCAAGAUAUUAAACUUAUUUUUGUAAGUGGCGUCCCUACGAAGCUAGCUUCGAGGGCGCUAGGGUCGACCCGGUAUUGCACUACUUCCGGGAGUGGCCCGUCCCCG
rnacentral:snRNA from 1 species